GCUCAGCCAAUCAGCGACGCCGUCUUCGCACUUCGCGCCUCUGAUUGGCUGAGAUCGCCCAGCGUCCCGCCUCCGUGCCGUUGACAGACAGCGGCGGCUGAGGGGGCGGAGAAAGAGGCGUGGCUCAGUACUUUCUCCGCCUUAUGAUUGGCUGACGACAUGAUUGGGGUGGGGUUAUCGUGGCUCCGCCCCCCGCUCCGCUGAGGGAAAAAGGCGGGAAAGGGUCGGAGUCCCUGAGGGGUUUUUCUCACCUUUCCCGUUUUAUCCUUUUCCUGAGGGGAAAAAGCGGCCGCCCUGAGAUGAAUUUACCCUUCUUUGCCCAGGAUGCCCAGGAGACGCUGCGCCCUGGCGCUCUGAGAUUCCUUUUCUCCCAGCCUCUUGUUUUUUUUUUUUUAACCAAGGACUUUUCACCAUUUUUAACCCAAAAUUUCUCCACCUGCACCAAAGGGAACCCGACGCCUUCUUCGUCCUCCCGGGGAAACACUGAUGAAGGAAUUCCUCCUCACCGACA